UGAAAUGUCGAUGUGUGAACAACAUUUCAAUAAUACGCUUCGAUGCGAUGUUGAAAAAUUCUUUUAUCGAGAUAAUUUAUUCUUGAUGAGAAUAUGGCUUUACUUUGUUCUUGCUUGUUUGAUUCUAGUUCUCCGUGCAUGUUGGGAGAAACUAUACUUACCGGAGACUCCGCGAAGGACACGAAGAGAACCUUCUCUAAUCGAGGAGUUUCAAACAUUCCGUGACCUAUAACCUAAUGGACAUCUCCCAACAAACAACUCAUCAACUAUAAUAAAUACUGUUCGUAUUUAUGAUGACAAAUGCAAAGGAAUUGGAAAUGUUAGUUAAUUUAGAAAUCCGAACUUCGUAUGAGCAUACGGAAAAUGGAUAAUGCUUCAUUAUUUUAUUUGCCGCUUAUGCUUUUCAUCGUUUGCUUUUCAAAACAGCUUAAUUUAUUUUAGGCUUGUUGAAAUUCUGCUAACUUCACUUUGCUUACAAUAAACUUGCACUUUUUAAAAUACACCGCUAUGCCAAACAUAACAAAUGAAAGCACCAAAUAAAAAAUAAUAAAAUGUA